CAGCCGGACCGGUGCCUGCCUUUCCAUGCCACUCUUGUUUUUGUGCUGUGGCUGUUUUGCAGAUGUCUACCGAGUACAACGGAGAGACACGGAGGGUGGCGUUGGGUCUGGUUUUGAGAUCAGAGCGGCAUCCUGACUGGUUCUGGCUACGUGUCUCACAGUUUAGGGAGUCAGAGGAAGACCUGUUCCCAGAUUCCACUCUCCCAUAGGUGUAUGCUCUUUCACCAAGUCACCUGUUUUAGGGCUCAGUAGUCAGAGCUGGUUUUGUAAUUAUCCUACUUUUGUCUCACCUCUUGAAUGCAUUUCCUACCUUAGAGGCAUAUUGACGGAACGCUUCUGGCUACCAGUCCAGUUACAUAUGGGAUCUUAAGCUGUUCUCUGAGGUCCAGGUGUUUGGCUGCAGCUAGGUUUACAGUCUCUCUCAGUUUGUGAGUGCUACUUGAUGUACAGCUGAAUAGAAGGCACAUGAUCCUUGGCAGUCACAAGAGCCGUCACAGCUGGGACUCUUUCUCGUUCAACCUUCUCCCCGCUAUCUACAUAUUUCUGACAGAGAGGCUCUGCUCGGGCGAUUUAGGGAUGAGAGCAGUUAAAGGCGUUCUGUGUAGGUGUCUGGACCGGAUCCAAGAGGCAGUCAUAAUAAGGGCUAGUCUUUGACUUUGUUCACUUACACCAGUUGAACAUGGUGGGAUCCAACAACUCGCCCCUUUCUCAUAAAACUACAGAGCAGGGUUAGUCUGACUUUUUUAACUUGUGAAAGUGUGCAAAUAGAACCUGUUUAAGGCAUUUCAAACUAUUUCUUACACAGUUAAGAACUGCAGAGACUUAAUUUGGCAUGUCACUCUGCGUUUCUCCGCUUCUGCUUUCUGACACAUUUGAUGUUGACAUUUGUUACCAUAGAGCAUUUUACUGAAAUGAUGCAUCACUUUAGUCACUUUGAUGAUGCGUUAGCACACCGUUGUGUUCUGCUGUUUUCUGUGUAUUUCAGAACAUUGCAUCUUCUUUUCCAGCCUUCCAUUCAUCUAUUUUGGGCUCGUGAGCUCUUUUCAUUGCUACAGCUGUGGUAUUUUACUCUACAUACAGUUAAUUGUGUAAUUGGUCCAUUUAGAGCUGAACUCAAAGGCACAUUGGUUUUUAGGUCACAGAACAAACUCACACAAAAAUCCAAUCCACAUUAGCGAUUGUAAAACAAGGCAGGAAUGUGUGGCGCGAUACAUAAAAACAAUGCGGUCUUUGGGGAAUUCAUUUACUGAGAAUGCAUCUGUUGGUCAUUGGCUGGAUCCACAAUAGCAGAAACCAUUAGCCAUUAGCUUGCUAAUUGCAUGCAGAGCUCUCCUUUCUUCAUUUCCCUGAUACUGAAAGCCACUUGCUCAUAAACUUAGCUCAGGCAUGACUGACUACUCGUAUGUGAAUUCACUUUGAUCAGAAAUGCUUUUGGACAUAUUUAUAUCCAGUCCUGGAAACAUGUCCUUUUUUUUUUCCCCUCCUCAUGAAGUGCUGCAAUUUCAGGUACACUUAGAGAAGGUUUCUAGGAAGAAUGUCGCUGAAAGUAAACUGUUUGUCAAGAUCAUCAUUUGUUUGUUCAGAAGUCUAAACAGUAUGAUUCACUGAUCCAAGUGCACUCCUACAAUGCAGUUAUGCUCUCUCAAUUUGCAUGCUGCAAACCGCCUCCGCUUUACUCUGCAAUAUGCAUAGUAGCAUCGCUAUACGUAUCUCUGUAAUGCAUAGCAUGCCAGUUGCGGACAGUUCAAAAGCAUGAUUGCAGACAAAAGAAGCUGAUAAGCUUGUGGUAGUGCAAACUGUUAUGGUUUGUCAGCAGCAGAUCCUAGGUACAGUAGUGGUACCGUUUCAUCCCUACCAGACUGAACAAUUAACUGGUAACAAAUAAAGUGGUUCCUGUCAGUCAUUGUGACUUGAAUGCUCACUGUGUGACCCACUGAUGGUGGUGUGUGCAUAUGUGCGAGACCAUCUAGUGAACCCGGGGCACCCACUGGCUGGAUCUCCAAGAAUAGCCACAGUGUUCCAGGGCGGGAAAGCCCCAGACGCGUGACCCCGGCAGGGUGGAUGGGCUCUGCGCUGCCUUUGGGAGCUCGAUCGUGGGCCGCUGCUAUUCCUGUCUCGGCCCGGCCCGGUCUGCAUGCUUUCAGAUGGAAAUCUAAACAGUGGGUAGAACAAGCACUUCUCUCACUGGAUCCCCCACCCUUGACCGUGCCUUGUUCAGCAUGGACCUGCUGUGUGAAUAGCCCUCCUUCAUGCGGGCCAGGUUUAACAGUCUUGCUGUCACAAGAUCUGUGAAAGAUAAUGUGAGAGAUAAAGAACUGAAGGUGUUUUAUGGGCUACCCUGACACCCUGCUGAGACGCAAUUGUCAAAGGGCAGAACCUGACUUUUUGUGGGUUGAAGUAUUUAUUUAUUUUUUUUUUUUUCUACAUCCUCUCACAACCUUAUUUUUUUUAGACUGGACUUUGAUGGCAUAUGCAACUCUGAAUUGAAACAGAAAGACAGAAACAUGUGGCUGUAGAUCGGCCCUGGCUAGAAGUCAUUAAAUCGCUGAAUAUACUAAGGAAAACACUGAAUGGACUGGAUGGGCGGGACCCUGUGGUCAUGCCAGCGGUGAUGUCAUCCCUUCAGGGACUCAAUUCAUGUUGUCUUGGAUGCUCUCACAUUACAGAUAAGUGAAUCAUCCGACCCCACCCCACCCCACCCCACCCGACUCCAUGAGACCACCAGGGCCUCAUGACCAUAAUCACAAUUUCACAGCCUGGACGGUCAUACACACCCACACCAACCAGUACACACCUGCACUGUUACUGUAAGUUAUGAAGGUUUUCCAUGUGGGGCUGCAUGGCUCAGGCCCAAGAUCUGUUCAGUAGACAGAAUUACCAUGGAUUCAUAUUCAUACAGCUAUUAGCAAUGUUUAGUUACUCUCUAUGGAAUUUCAUUGAACUUCACCUGCUGAGGUGCUUCGUGGAAGGAUACAGUGUUGGUUUCUCCAAUUAAAGUGCCAUGUGAUGCAGUGUGGAAAGCUGAUUUGAAGCUAAUCACCAUUUAAAGCAGUCGAGCUACACUUGUUGCAAAAAAAAAAAAUAAAAUAAAAAAAUAAGGUUACUACAUUUUAAUUGUUUAAGGGGAUGAUAUCUUUAUAUGAAUCUAAGAAUGUAAGUCUAUGUAUGUGAUGAACAUUUAACUAAAUGAAGACACUGGGGCUUAAAGGAAUCUGUGAAUUGUUUAUUUGAUCAGUGAAUUGUGUGUUUAAUCAGUGAAUCAUUUAUUGACAUGAACAGGAUGAUUCGCUAAAAUGAGUUAGACUUCCAAUGGUGUAUAAAAGUGGACAGAGCAUGUUUGAUUGUUGCCUCAGCUCGCUUUAGAGUAAAGCUUGCUAGUGUGUUUGUUAUACUGUGUGAUUGUUCAAUGAUAAUUUGAGUUCACAGAAUACAUUUUCCAGCUAUCUCAGUGGUAACUGCAUGCAGAUGAUAUCUGUUGAUGUAAAGCAUGGAGAUUAAAGUUUUUCUUUGAAAACAGCUCACAA